UCUGGGCAAUAUGUUGGUCUUUAUUUUAUUUUUUUAUUAACACAAAAACAAAAGAAAUCAUUAGGAAAAACAGAUUGAAAUUUUUCAGUGCUUAGUAACUAUCUUUAUGCUAAAUUUGUUCUUUUAUUAACGUCAGCACAAUUAAAAACAAAAAACAUGGCUCCAACUAUUGACGUGAAGGAAAUGGAUCCACUUGAAGAUGCGAAUGAAAAUCCUAUUGAUAAAAUUCAAUCUGUUAUAAUCUCUCUGAGUGCACUUUGGUUGGUUGCAAUAUUAUGUUUCAUUCUGUUAAAGAAAUGGACUGCAUGGAAAGAGGUAGACCAAAUAAAUGAUCUUCGAUCAAUUGAAGGUCAAACAACUGUUAUUAACGAAGAAGAUUUUAAUCUCACAAGUAUUCAAACGCCUAAUAUGUCUCCUCCCAAUACGAGAAUCAGGACUUUUCGAGAGUGGGAGAUAGACAAAUACAAUCAAAUGCUUCAAAUUAAUAAUGAAAAUAGACUCCAUCAAUCGUAGGUUAAAAUUGUUAAAAUAAAAUCAUAUAUAUUAUGGAGACAAUGAGUUUCGCUUUUAUUCUCAAUGUCUAGAUCAGAAAAAUUUAAAACAACUAAAGUGUUUUUUGGUUUUUUGGACUGUUAAAACAUACUGGAAAACCAGAAGUUCAGUCGUUCAAGAUUUUCAUAUAAAGAGAAAAGGUCAAAUUUAAGGUGAAGAAAAAACAAUUACCGAUAAAUUUAGUAAACAACUAAUGUAAAAUGUAAAAUCAUAUAAAAUAAAGA